CGGGACGGGUGAGUAACACGUGGAUAACCUACCUAUAAGACUGGGAUAACUUCGGGAAACCGGAGCUAAUACCGGAUAAUAUAUUGAACCGCAUGGUUCAAUAGUGAAAGACGGUUUUGCUGUCACUUAUAGAUGGAUCCGCGCCGCAUUAGCUAGUUGGUAAGGUAACGGCUUACCAAGGCGACGAUGCGUAGCCGACCUGAGAGGGUGAUCGGCCACACUGGAACUGAGACACGGUCCAG
rnacentral:rRNA from 1 species